GUGGUAAAGGUAGCUUCACUCCCAACCCAUGUGACAUACCUAUUGUUGCUUCGGCGGGACUGCCCCGGGCGCCUCGUGUGCCCCGGAUCAGGCGCCCGCCUAGGAAACUCAACUCUUGUUUUAUUUUGGAAUCUUCUGAGUAGUUUUUACAAAUAAAUAAAAACUUUCAACAACGGAUCUCUUGGUUCUGGCAUCGAUGAAGAACGCAGCGAAAUGCGAUAAGUAAUGUGAAUUGCAGAAUUCAGUGAAUCAUCGAAUCUUUGAACGCACAUUGCGCCCGCCAGUAUUCUGGCGGGCAUGCCUGUCUGAGCGUCAUUUCAACCCUCAUGCCCCUAGGGCGUGGUGUUGGGGAUCGGCCAAAGCCCGCGAGGGACGGCCGGCCCCUAAAUCUAGUGGCGGACCCGUCGUGGCCUCCUCUGCGAAGUAGUGAUAUUCCGCAUCGGAGAGCGACGAGCCCCUGCCGUUAAACCCCCAACUUUCCAAGGUUGACCUCAGAUCAGGUAGGAAUACCCGCUGAACUUAAGCAUAUCAAAAGGCGGAGGAA
rnacentral:rRNA from 1 species